GGAUGUGAGGGUGAUCUGGCUGCGACAUCUGCAACCCCACUGAUCACCCGGGUUGGUUUGGCUGAUCUGGCUGGCUAGGCAAGUGUCCCUUCCUCCCUCACUGCUUCAUGUGUGUCCCUCAUCUCUGGAAGCUGUGCCGAGUCUAAGAAUAUGACCUUACCAGAACAGAAGAGGGCCAUUCUUCAUUAAAGGUAUAGGAGUAACUGCACUCCUCAGCUAGAACCUCCAAACAAACUCUCAAGGAAGUGGGAGGCUCCAAAUUUCUCUUGGUUGGUCAAAUGUCAGUAGGAAAGCCAGAGAUUGAUGGAGAAUGCAGGCACCAGACCUACUUGGUUUAC
rnacentral:snRNA from 1 species